rnacentral:rRNA from 1 species
GCUUACGGCCAUACCACCCUGAGAACGCCCGAUCUCGUCUGAUCUCGGAAGCUAAGCAGGGUCGGGCCUGGUUAGUACUUGGAUGGGAGACCGCCUGGGAGUACCAGGUGCUGUAAGCU